AGAGUUUGAUCCUGGCUCAGGAUGAACGCUGGCGGCGUGCCUAACACAUGCAAGUCGAACGGAGUUAUGAUGUGAGCGGGAAGCUGAAGAGAGGAGCUUGCUCUUCUUGGAUGAGUUGCGAACGGGUGAGUAACGCGUAGGUAACCUGCCUUGUAGCGGGGGAUAACUAUUGGAAACGAUAGCUAAUACCGCAUAACAAUGGAUGACCCAUGUCAUUUAUUUGAAAGGGGCAAAUGCUCCACUACAAGAUGGACCUGCGUUGUAUUAGCUAGUAGGUGAGGUAACGGCUCACCUAGGCGACGAUACAUAGCCGACCUGAGAGGGUGAUCGGCCACACUGGGACUGAGACACGGCCCAGACUCCUACGGGAGGCAGCAGUAGGGAAUCUUCGGCAAUGGGGGCAACCCUGACCGAGCAACGCCGCGUGAGUGAAGAAGGUUUUCGGAUCGUAAAGCUCUGUUGUAAGUCAAGAACGAGUGUGAGGGUGGAAAGUUCACACUGUGACGGUAGCUUACCAGAAAGGGACGGCUAACUACGUGCCAGCAGCCGCGGUAAUACGUAGGUCCCGAGCGUUGUCCGGAUUUAUUGGGCGUAAAGCGAGCGCAGGCGGUUUGAUAAGUCUGAAGUUAAAGGCUGUGGCUCAACCAUAGUUCGCUUUGGAAACUGUCAAACUUGAGUGCAGAAGGGGAGAGUGGAAUUCCAUGUGUAGCGGUGAAAUGCGUAGAUAUAUGGAGGAACACCGGUGGCGAAAGCGGCUCUCUGGUCUGUAACUGACGCUGAGGCUCGAAAGCGUGGGGAGCGAACAGGAUUAGAUACCCUGGUAGUCCACGCCGUAAACGAUGAGUGCUAGGUGUUGGAUCCUUUCCGGGAUUCAGUGCCGCAGCUAACGCAUUAAGCACUCCGCCUGGGGAGUACGACCGCAAGGUUGAAACUCAAAGGAAUUGACGGGGGCCCGCACAAGCGGUGGAGCAUGUGGUUUAAUUCGAAGCAACGCGAAGAACCUUACCAGGUCUUGACAUCCCUAUGCUAUUUCUAGAGAUAGAAAGUUACUUUGGUACAUCGGUGACAGGUGGUGCAUGGUUGUCGUCAGCUCGUGUCGUGAGAUGUUGGGUUAAGUCCUGCAACGAGCGCAACCCCUAUUGUUAGUUGCCAUCAUUCAGUUGGGCACUCUAGCGAGACUGCCGGUAAUAAACCGGAGGAAGGUGGGGAUGACGUCAAAUCAUCAUGCCCCUUAUGACCUGGGCCACACACGUGCUACAAUGGUUGGUACAACGAGUUGCGAGUCGGUGACGGCAAGCUAAUCUCUUAAAGCCAAUCUCAGUUCGGAUUGUAGGCUGCAACUCGCCUACAUGAAGUCGGAAUCGCUAGUAAUCGCGGAUCAGCACGCCGCGGUGAAUACGUUCCCGGGCCUUGUACACACCGCCCGUCACACCACGAGAGUUUGUAACACCCGAAGUCGGUGAGGUAACCUUUUGGAGCCAGCCGCCUAAGGUGGGAUAGAUGAUUGGGGUGAAGUCGUAACAAGGUA
rnacentral:rRNA from 1 species